GAUGAACGCUGGCGGCGUGCCUAAUACAUGCAAGUCGAGCGAACGGACGAGAAGCUUGCUUCUCUGAUGUUAGCGGCGGACGGGUGAGUAACACGUGGAUAACCUACCUAUAAGACUGGGAUAACUUCGGGAAACCGGAGCUAAUACCGGAUGAUAUUUUGAACCGCAUGGUUCAAAAGUGAAAGACGGUCUUGCUGUCACUUAUAGAUGGAUCCGCGCUGCAUUAGCUAGUUGGUAAGGUAACGGCUUACCAAGGCAACGAUGCAUAGCCGACCUGAGAGGGUGAUCGGCCACACAGGAACUGAGACACGGUCCAGACACCGACGGGAGGCAGCAGUAGGGAAUCUUCCGCAAUGGGCGAAAGCCUGACGGAGCAACGCCGCGUGAGUGAUGAAGGGCUUCGGAUCGUAAAACGCUGUUAUUAGGGAAGAACAUAUGUGUAAGUAACUGUGCACAUCUUGACGGUACCUAAUCAGAAAGCCACGGCUAACUACGU
rnacentral:rRNA from 1 species